rnacentral:rRNA from 1 species
CGGGCGGACGGGUGAGUAACACGUAUCCAACCUGCCGUCUACUCUUGGACAGCCUUCUGAAAGGAAGAUUAAUACAAGAUGGCAUCAUGAGUCCGCAUGUUCGCAUGAUUAAAGGUAUUCCGGUAGACGAUGGGGAUGCGUUCCAUUAGAUAGUAGGCGGGGUAACGGCCCACCUAGUCUUCGAUGGAUAGGGGUUCUGAGAGGAAGGUCCCCCACAUUGGAACUGAGACACGGUCCAA